UUGCGGCAUAAUAAAUAAACUAUAAAACUCACUUUUAAUAAGUAAAAUUGAAAAAAUUUGAAUGACAAUUCCAACAUGAUGAAGCGGCGAGAUUUGUAUUAUAAACCAAGAGGCCAAGUGGGAAAAGAAGAUUAACAGUAUAUUAGAUGUCGAGGCUGACAUUAUUUUGAAAGGUUUCAAUAUAUCUGAAAAGAUUAAAAAGGAUUUUACAAACAAUCUUAGAAGGAAAUGGAGGGACAAAAACAGAACUAGAAACUAGAACACGGUUUGAGGCUAAGUACCAGAACUGGUUAGAUGGCGAUGUCAAUCCUGUAGAGAAUGUUCAACCUUCAGGUCCACCUAUAAUCCUGGGUUAUUCCGUUUCUGCUGACGUAUUGGGUAUCGACGAGGAACUAACCAAGCGUUUCUACAUCAUACUAUGCACUGAUCUAUUUCAAGGAGACAGCCCAAAGUUUUGUUCCUCCAUAAUGCCCUGGUAUUAUAUGCCGCAGCGUUUACACAAACAAUUAAUGCGCUCUCACCAGGUAGUUCGCAACAAAAGCAUACCUUGGUAUGCUUUCUGAAGAAGAACAGGAAAGCAGAAACAAAGGUGUAAAAAAACUUCAGAGUAUUUUUUAACACUCAAAGUUUCUAUAAAAAAUCAAAACCUGAAUUUAAUGAGAAGACUUCUGUGUAGCUCAGAUCCAGUGAUCAGUUUGCUGUGAAGCAGAAAAAAAGAAAUUGGAAUUGCUUCUUCCCGAAGAAGUUAAACUUUUACUCGUAGAAAACUUGUAAACUUGUAUGAAUUUGUUUUGUUUAUUUCACAAUUCAAAACAUUUUAAUUUUUUUAUAUAGGAUGCUAGUUAAAUGCUUCUUGACACUUAAAAACAAUAUAGUUACAA